rnacentral:tRNA from 1 species
AGCGGACUCAUAAGCCGUCGGUCGUGGGUUCAACUCCCACCCCUGCUA